GGACGUGGAUGACAUAGAAAGUUUAUUCCCAGACAGGAGCCCGAGGUGCUGUGCUGGAGGUCCGCAGACCGGGGAGGCAGACACAUCCCGUUCGGUCCCCUCGGCCCAGGGGUCGGAGAAAGGACAGGCAGAGCAGCCUAGAAAGGCAAAGAAAUUAACGAUGUUUGGCCGUCUGGGGGCUUAUCAGCGCCACUGGGGUCAGGCGGCGGCCGAGGCGACGCGCGCGGAGGCAGACGCCUGCCGGGGUUGGGGCUGUCCAGCUACUAAAUGAGAAGAGAGAAAAAAGAAUGCAAACUGCCUCUUCGAAUGUGGAGGCUCUGCCUGAAGGGACUGUGAGAACUGACAUGAAAUCUGGAGUGGAGAGAUGGGUGGAGUGAGGGAAAAAUGAACUGCAAUGCACCCUGAGUCAGAAGCCUGACUGAAGACCUGGCUCUGGGAUCUUGCUGGCCUCAGCCUCAGUUUCCACCUCUAUAGCAUGGGAAGAAUAAAAAGCUCCCAGGAUUGCUGGGAAGAGCACAA